rnacentral:rRNA from 1 species
GUGGUGCAUGGCUGUCGUCAGCUCGUGCCGUAAGGUGUUGGGUUAAGUCUCGCAACGAGCGCAACCCUCGUGUUUAGUUGCCACUAUGAGUUUGGAACCCUGAACAGACCGCCGGUGUUAAGCCGGAGGAAGGAGAGGAUGAGGCCAAUAAUACUC